ensembl:lncRNA
AAUGCCUGGAGGGCUCUGCCUGUUGGUGGUGACAGCUGGAAGAUUCGUGGUGAGGGGUUCCGCCUGUUGGUGGUGAAUGCCUGGAGGGCUCUGCCUCUUGGUGGUGAGAGCCGUGGGGUUCAUGGUGAGGAAUUCCGCCUGUUGGUGGUGAGACCUGGGAGGGCUCCGCCUGGUGGUGGUGAGCGCCAUGGGGUUCGUGGUGAGGGAUUCCGCCUGUUGGCGGUCGGAGCUGGGAGGGCUCUGCCUGUUGGUGGUGAGCGCUAGGGUGUUCGUGGUGAGGGGUUCCGCCUGUUGGUGGUGAGAGCUGGGAGGUUGGCAGGGAGUGCUGCCGCCUGUUGGUGUGGAGCACCAGGAGGUUUGUGGUGAGGGCUGGCGCCUGUUGGUGGCGAGCACCAGGAGGUUCACGGUGAGGGUUCCGCCUGUUGGUGGUGAGCACCGGGAGGUUCACGGUGAGGGUUCCGCCUGUUUCUUGGUGGGCACCGUGGGAGUUCUGCCUGCUCGCGGUGAAGGGUUCCGCCUGUUGGGAGUGAGCGCCUGGAGGGCUCUGCCUGUUUGUGGUGAGCACUGGGGGGGUUCCGCCUGUUCGUGGUGAGCACCAGGAGGGCUCCGCCUGUUUGUGGCGAGGGUUCCGCCUGUUCAUGGCGAGGGUUCUGCCUGUUCCUAAUGGGCAUGGUGGUAGUUCCGCCUGUUCGUGGUGAGCAGCAGGAGGGCUCCUCCUGUUUGCAGUGAGGGUUCCGCCUGUUCCUGGCGAGGGUUCCGCCUGUUCCUAGUGGGCAUAGUGGUAGUUCUGCCUGUUUGUGGUGAGCACCAGGAGGGCUCCACCUGUUCAUGGCGAGGGUUCUGCCUGCUCCUAGUGGGCACGGUGGUAGUUCCGCCUGUUGCUGGUGAGCACCAAGAGGGCUCCGCCUGUUCAUGGCGAGGGUUCUGCCUGUUUAUGGCGAGGGUUCCGCCUCUUCAUGGCGAGGGUUCCGCCUGUUCAUGGCGAGGGUUCCGCCUGUUCAUGGCGAGGGUUCCGCCUCUUCAUGGCGAGGGUUCCGCCUGUUCGCGGUGAAGGUUCCACCUGUUCAUGGCGAGGGUUCUGCCUGUUUGCAUCAAGGGUUCCACCUGUUCGCAGUAAGGGUUCUGCCUGUUCAUGGCGAGGGUUCCGCCUGUUGAGGGUGAGCGCGGUGCAGGAGCUGCGCUGCUCCAAACCCUCCAACAGAAUCCCCCCCGUCCCCCAAUCCCAGACCCAUAGGGGGCGGAAGGGACCUCUGGGUCCCCCCCGAGUCACCCCCAUCCCACAGCAGGACCCCACAGCGCUGUGCCCGCGGUCACAUGCAGGUGGGUGUCAGCAUCUCCGUGGGGGGGAGACCCCACCGCUGCUCUGGGUGGCGUGGUCUGUUGGGAACCUGUUGGGAACCCAUUGGGAACCCACUGGGGAACCCAUUGGGAGCCCAUUGGGGACUCAUUGGGGAACCCGUUGGGAACCCAUUGGGGAAGCCAUUGGAGAACCCAUUGGGAACUCAUUGGGAAUUCAUUGGGAACUCAUUGAGGAACCCGCUGGGAACCCAUUGGGAACCCACUAGAGAACCCAUUGGGAACUGAUUGGGGAACCCAUUGGGAACCCAUUGAGGAACCCGUUGGGAACUGAUUGGAGAACCCAUUGGAGAACCCAUUGGGGAACCCAUUGGAGAACCCAUUGGGAACUGAUUGGAGAACCCAAUGGGGAACCCAUUGGAGAACCCAUUGGGAACCCAUUGGGGAACCCAUUGGGGAAACCCAUUGGGAACUCAUUGAGGAACCUUUUGGGAACCCAUUGGGGAACCCAUUGGAGAACCCAUUGGGAACUGAUUGGGGAACCCAUUGGGAACUGAUUGGGGAACCCGUUGGAAAACCUAUUGGGGAACCCAUUGGGAACUCAUUGAGGAACCUGCUGGGAACCCGUUGGGAACCCACUGGAGAACCCAUUUGGAACUAAUUGGGGAACCCGUUGGGAACUCGUUGGGGAACUCGUUGGGGAACCCUUUGGAGAACCCAUUGGGAACUCAUUGAGGAACCUGCUGGGAACCCGUUGGGAACCCACUGGAGAACCCAUUGGGAACUAAUUGGGGAACCCAUUGGGAACUCGUUGGGGAACCCAUUGGAGAACCCAUUGGGGAACUCAUUGAGAAGCCAAUGGGGAACCUGAUGGGAAAUCUGUUGGGAACCCAUUGGAAAACCAUUGGGAACCCAUUGGGAACUCACUGGGGAACCCGUUGGGAACCCAUUGGGGAACCCAUUCGGGAACCCAUUGGAAACUCAUUGGGAACCCAUUGGAAGUGGCCCCAAACCCACUGUGGCACACACCCACUUCCCACCAGGGACUGGUGGCCGUGCACAGAUGUCCCCUUUGUCCCAACAUGGGGACAGGACCCCCAGCCGGGCCGUGUCCCCGAGCAGAACCCCCAAAUCCCACCAUCACAGAACUAUGGGGGGCUCCAGAGGUCCCUCCAACCCCCAAGUCACCCCCAAACCUACAGCAGUUCCCCACAGCGCAGUGCCCGGGGGUCUCAUCCAGGCGGGAUUUAAUGUUUCCAUGGAAGGAGA